rnacentral:misc_RNA from 1 species
GAUCCUUUAAUAACCAAGGCAGCAAAGAGGCUUCUCUCCAGUGAAGGGGAACUGAAAGACCAGCUUGAGAAAUUUCGUCGGGAUCCAAAUAUUUCGAGUUGGCUGGAGGAUGCUGCUUAUUUUGCUGCCAUAGACAACUCUGUAAACACUAUUAGCUGGUAUGAUUGGCCUGAACCAUUGAAAAAUCGCCAUCUUGGAGCUCUAGAAGAAGUUUAUCAAAGUGAAAAGGAUUUUAUUGACAUAUUCAUUGCACAACAGUUCUUGUUCCAACGACAAUGGAAAAAAGUUCGUGACUAUGCACGAUCCAAAGGGAUCAGUAUAAUGGGAGACAUGCCAAUAUAUGUUGGAUAUCACAGUGCUGAUGUUUGGGCCAACAAGAAACAAUUUUUGCUGAAUAGGAAAGGUUUCCCUCUUAUAGUUAGUGGUGUUCCUCCAGACGCCUUUAGUGAAACUGGUCAACUAUGGGGCAGCCCUCUCUAUGAUUGGAAAGCCAUGGAGAAAGAUGGAUAUUCAUGGUGGAUACGCCGCAUACAACGAGCUCAAGAUCUGUAUGAUGAAUUUAGGAUUGACCAUUUUAGAGGUUUUGCUGGAUUUUGGGCUGUUCCUUCUGAUGCAAAAAUUGCAAUGGUUGGAAACUGGA